CAGCCCAAAGAAAAAAAAAAUUAUCCAUCAAAGUUGCGUGUAUUCCCACUUCCCAGUCUCCCACAGCACUGAUAGCAGCUCACAGGCUCACACAGUCACACUACCUUUCGCCUUCUCGUAAACGAGAAUGGAGAAUUUUUAUUUGAGAGUUUUGGUGAUAGUGUAUGGGUUUAUGCAUAAUAUCGAGAUUGCUAUUGAUGCCCUUUCCAUCUGUUUCUAUAGCAACAACAGAGAGAGCAUUUUCAUAUAUGACCAUCAUAAAAAACAAACUUCGAAAUAAGAUGGAAGAUGAGUUUUUUGAUGAUUUGAUGGUUCUCUACAUCGAAAAAGAACUUGCCGAUAGCAUUGAUAAUGAUUCUGUGAUUGUUGAGUUUGAAGUGAGUGGGCCUCGGAUGGUACGAUUUAGUUAAUUUAUUGUUGUUUUACAACAAAUGUAUGCUUGUAGUUUUUAAUCUACGGGGUUUGGUUUUAUGUCCCCUCCGUUGUAUGUUUUGAUUGAAAAUAAUAAAGGCGUGAGGAUGAGCCUCCCAUUGGGUUCCAAACCUCAAAAAAAAAAAAAAAAAUUGUACACUUCUAAUUAGCCUAGACAACAAUUAGAUCCUGGAUCCGCCACUAGAUAGUUGGUUGAGAUUAUAAUCUGAUAUUGUGAUCUUGAAUCGGAAAUUUGGUCGAAUUGUGUAGUUUUGGUGGUUUGAAGAUAUGUUUAAACUAGGAGGACAGAUUGGAUGAGUUGUGGUGUUUUGAUUUGAAUGGAGUGUGAUUAUCGUGUUUGAUGCCUUGUUAGUGUUGCUAGGGCAGGUUAUUCGAAAUGUUUGUGGAAUAAUUGAAAAUGGUCAAGCUUGGGUGUCCAUAGUAGUUUUGGGUACACCUUGUAUGGAAAUUGGAAAGUAUUGGGUGUCAAAACGGUUAAGUAA